UACGGGGGGAGCAAGCGUUGUUCGGAUUUACUGGGCGUAAAGGGCGCGUAGGCGGCCACCGCAAGUCGACUGUGAAAUCUCCGGGCUUAACUCGGAAAGGUCAGCCGAUACUGCGGGGCUAGAGUGCAGAAGGGGCAACUGGAAUUCUCGGUGUAGCGGUGAAAUGCGUAGAUAUCGAGAGGAACACCUGCGGCGAAGGCGGGUAGCUGGGCCGACACUGACGCUGAGGCGCGAAAGCCAGGGGAGCGAACGGG
rnacentral:rRNA from 1 species